CCUGGGGGGCUGCAGUGGGGAAUAUUGCGCAAUGGGCGAAAGCCUGACGCAGCGACGCCGCGUGGGUGAUGAAGGCCUUCGGGUUGUAAAGCCCUGUCGGGUGGAACGAACGAUCUGGCGGCGAAUAACCGCCGGGUGUGACGGUACCACCGAAGGAAGCCCCGGCUAACUACGUGCCAGCAGCCGCGGUAAGACGUAGGGGGCGAGCGUGGUCCGGAUUUACUGGGCGUAAAGUAGGUAAGUGCGGCUUGAAAUCCCUCGGCUUAACCGAGGUCCCGCAUCCGAUACUGUCUGGCUCGAGUCUAGGAGAGGAAAGCGGAAUUCCCAGUGUAGCGGUGAAAUGCGUAGAUAUUGGGAGGAACACCGGUGGCGAAGGCGGCUUUCCGGACUAGUACUGACGCUGAGGCGCGAAAGCUAGGGGAGCGAACGGGAUUAGAUACCCCAGUAGUC
rnacentral:rRNA from 1 species